UACGUAGGGUGCAAGCGUUGUCCGGAUUUAUUGGGCGUAAAGAGCUCGUAGGCGGUUUGUCGCGUCGGAUGUGAAAACCCAGGGCUCAACCCCGGGUCUGCAUUCGAUACGGGCAGGCUAGAGUGUGGUAGGGGAGAUCGGAAUUCCUGGUGUAGCGGUGAAAUGCGCAGAUAUCAGGAGGAACACCGGUGGCGAAGGCGGAUCUCUGGGCCAUUACUGACGCUGAGGAGCGAAAGCGUGGGGAGCGAACAGG
rnacentral:rRNA from 1 species